rnacentral:tRNA from 2 species
GCGGGUAUCGUAUAAUGGUUAUUAUCUCAGUCUUCCAAACUGAUGAAGCGGGUUCAAAUCCCGCUACCCGCU